ACUCCUACGGGAGGCAGCAGUGGGGAAUAUUGCACAAUGGGGAAGCCAUCGAUGCAGCCAUGCCGCGCUGUGUGAAGAAGGCCAAUUCGGGCUUGGUAAAGACACUUUCAGCGAGGAGGAAAGGGUGUGUGCUAAUACCAUACAUCUGUGACGUUACUCGCAGAAGAAGCACCGGCUAACUCCGUGCCAGCAGCCGCGGUAAUACGGAGGGUGCGAGCGUUAAUCGGAAUUACUGGGCGUAAAGCGUGCGCAGGCGGUUUGUUAAGCGAGAUGUGAAAGCCC
rnacentral:rRNA from 1 species